UCAGAAACCAUCAUAAGCCUGAAAAUAUAACAAAAUAAUAUGUUGAUUCUAAUACACAUGUAAACAAAAUGAACUACAUGCAUUCAGUGUAUACGGCAACAUACAUAUACAAAUGUAAACAUACAGUGUAAAAUUAAAAACAUCAUGAUACCACAUAUGAUCAUAAUAAAGUUGACAAACAUUCAGAGAUAAAUAAAUAUUUUCUAAUUUAAAACUUCAUUCUGUUCAACAUUUUUGUCCAUUUUUUGUUUAGCAAAUUACUGAUUUUUUAUAAUUUAUUUUUCCUUUCCAACUUAUUCCUCAUAAAAGUCCCUAUUAUAUUUUUAACAGAACAAAAACAAUUUGAUAAAAGUACAAACAAGUGUGUUACUGUUUAUGUUUGAUACAUGUCGACUACUUAUCAGAAUCAAUUUAAGAAUCAAUUCAACUUCACAGCUCGGAACAAAAUGUCAAUUGAAAAGCAUGUAUUUUACAAAUAGUAAAAUGUGUCAUUUUACAAAAUUUAUGUCAAAGUUUAUGAAGAGUUCCCAAUAAUUUACAAUAAGAUUUUCUAUGGUUAAUAUGCAUCUUUAUUAUCUCAGCUCUGCAAUCCUUUCCAUCUCUCUCAGUGGCUGAAUUGAAAUGACAUGAAUGUAUAAUAUGGCUUUAUAUCUAAAAGGAAGAAAAGAUGAAAUAAAAAGGAAGGGAGUUGAAAAGUAAUGACAGCAGAGUUAAAAAGUAAUGACAGCAAUUGAACUUAUAUCAUAACAGGAAAUCCAAUCAAUUUGUAAAGAGUGAAAAUCUUUGAAAAGUUGAAUAAUUUUUACACAGAGUGAUUUUAGAUUGAAAGUAUACAGAACAUACACAUGUUUCCUGAAAGUAACAUGUUAAACAUUGAUAUUUUGAGAUUUGCAACUUUCUUAUCAUUAUUUAAGUAUAAGUUACUUUGUGAUAAAUUCUUAUCUUUAACCAAUUAAAAUUUGUAGGCAUCCAAUUUACUGUUUCGAAGAUUCAAAAUAUGCUUACUUUUUUACUUUAAAUGUAUAUAUAAUAUAUAUAUAUAUAUAUAAGCCAGCCUGUAUUUUUCAUAUUAACCCACUUAAUUGAUAUAACCAAUAAAACACUUAUUUGAAACUUGGCGUAGUCAUUUGCUUAAAUGAUUUAUGGUUGUCUGGCUCUUUUAAAGUAUUAAAUAUGGAUUGGUCGGCCAAUCCAAUUUGCAGAAGCAUGCGCAUAAACACUAAAGAACUUCAGAUUGACUAUUUUUAAUUAACUAUUUGGAAUGGUUUUAACAGAAAAAACCCGCCACAUCUCCAUCAAGUCUUAAGUUUACUUUUUAGCAGUUCAAGCACAUUUAAGUCCUGGCCUCAGUAUCACGAAUGAACUCAACCUAAAACUUAAACUCAAAGUUUGACUUGAGAUUUGUUUUGACUCAGUUGAGAUCCGACUCAAUUUGGUGAUCACAAAAUAAUUUGAGACCGUUCUCAGCCGAGUUUUAAACUCAGUCUCAACUUUAUCGAUCUGCAUUCGCGUAAGCGGUUAUAUUUCGCUAAAUACUCUUCAACUGGAAGAUGAACCGCGAGCUUAUGUCAUCAUCGGGGUCGUCUGUCAGUGGCAAAAAUGAACGAGUUAAAGAAGCGCUCGAACAAUUGGACUAAUUCAGAGCGGCACUCCGCUCUGUCAACAAUACUGAAUCAACAUGAUUCACUUUUUGGAAAGUUCAAAGGGGCCACUCUCGGAAAUAAGGCCAAGGAGGCCAAAUGGGAUGAGAUCGUAAUGGAAAUAAAUUCCUGUGGUGGUACACGCAGAACUGUGGAAGAGGUCCGGAAGAUGUAUCAGAGCUCAAAGCAACGAGCAAAGGAUAAAUUCUUUCGCAGCCAGAAGACUGGGAGUUGACCUGGAGAGCAGUUUUCAGCAUGCGAUAAUUUGCUUCUAGACAAACUAAAGGACACACAUGUACUGACUGGCAUUGCUGGCGGGGUUGAGAGUGGGUCCUACUCAUUCAUCAUUGAGAACGAUCAUGACAGCUCUCAACCUGAAACUGGUGCAUGUAGCAGGAACAAUGAAAACCAUACAUCUGUAGAAUAUAUACAGACUACAAGUACCUGUGCAAGUGGCAGUGCUUUGAUGUCUUUGUCAACAGAUGAAGUUCCAUGUGUAUUUGCAGAGAAAAUGCAGAGAAAAUGCUUUUGAAACGAUCAGGUGAGGUGGACGAACUGUAUGAGCUGGAAAAAAAGAGAGCCAGAGUAGAACUGAAGUUGGCCGAGAACCGAGUCGCCAAUGAGAAUGAGUUAUUUGAACUGAAAAAAGCAAUACUUGAAACAAACCUUGAACAAGUGUUUAGCAAUAGUUCUAUCAUACCAUUCAAUGAAUUGUAAACCCUUUAUUUCUUCAAUUUUCUGUUAAAACAAUUAAAAAUUGAAAAGUCUACUGAAUUUGUGAAAAUCUCUUUUUUAAACAAAAAUAUUUGCAAUAUGUCAUUAGUUCUUUGUAUAUAGUUGUGUUCAUAGAUUCGAGAAUUCAUCUUGUAUUACUUUUCUGAACAUGAUGUUCAACACAAAAUAAUGUUAAGAACUUUAUGUUAUCUAUAACAUGUGAACAGUGAAAUGAAAAGCUAUAAUAGUGUACACUUUAGAAACAGUUAAACAAGUAGCUAGAAUGGUAUUUUCAUUUAAUUCUUUGAUACUGUUCAGACUUUGUCUUAUGCCCUAUAUAUAUAGUCCUUUCACAAGCAGCAAAUACAACUUUAUUAGCAUCAAUGAUUAUUUUCAAGUUUCAGAGAUGACUACCUUAUCAUGCCUAUCGAAAUAUGUGUAUGGCUACUGUUAUCGUUUGGAUUGUUGAUGACACAAUUGCAACCAUUUUCGAUUAAGUUACUUUUUUGUAGUUAAGCUAUUGAGAACAAGAUAUGCAUUUCUUCGAAUAGGAUAGUACACCACAUCUCGGUCUGUUGUACUGAACAUGUGUUGUCAAACAAUGUUAUAUAAACCAUAUGUGGAGCAGUUAUACAUGUCAAGACUGAAUGUCAGAAUUGAUAUUUCUUUUUUGUAUUCCAGGAAAAUAUUAAGUUGUAAAUGCAGUAUUUCAUGUGAAUUCAUUUGUACAGAUUGUCAUUUUUUUGUGUAGUCUUGACUGCUCCAUUGAUAUGAUUCUGAAAUAGUGUUUUAUGCUGCAAAUGAUAUUUGUUCAGAUAAGCAAUUAUUAACUUGAAAUUUUGUUAAGAAAUGUUACCAUGGAGACCAAUCACUGUUUUGCCAUAACUUAAAUUGUGAUUGUUAAAGUAAAUGCUGUUAUAUUUUAAUGUCAUAUAAUCACAGAGAAAACAUCCAAAGUAGUGCUAAGCAUCUUCAUGCUUGACUUCUGACAGUAUUGUGAGAUACUGUGAAAAUCAAUGGCAUUGAAGUAAAUCAAUUAGCUUUUAUUGUUUAUUAUAAGUACCUCAAAACUGAUAUUUUAAUGGUUAUGGGCUCAUACUAUUCAUGUAUAUUGUGCACUUAUUUCAUGUACAUUUUGAGAAACUUGAUGAAAUUGAUGUUUGUGACAAUUGUAAACCCUAUUUCCAUAUGAAUUAGUGCAUGUUCAAUAGUCAUACCGAACUGUCAUUGUCAAGUAUAAGCAUAUACAAGUAAACAAAACACUCCAAAAAAUACCUAUUCUGAUUCGAAAAAGUUUGAUGUAACAAAUGUGAUAUGCUUAUAUUUAUCUAAAUUGAUUGAGUUAAACGUAGUUAUAUUAUUGUAUCAUCGAUGUUUUAAUAUUGGUUAUUCUCCUGCUAAAUUAAAAUAAAUUUGUAAAUAAUGUCAUUAGACUGUAUUUUCCGUCGUUAAAGUUUGAAAAAUAAAUAAAAA